rnacentral:lncRNA from 1 species
UUUGUCUCCAUGGACACACCUGAGAUUGUUUGCUGCUGACUAAGAGCUCACCUCAUGCAGGGGAGGACUCUGACCUCUCUGUUACUUCAGGCUCUCUGACUCAAACUCUCUGACUCUAGUAAUUAUGGAGAAUAAACAACAUUUUGAAUGAGGAUUUUUGCUACGUCAGGAAACUACAGUUGUUGGCUGAUAGAAAAAUUACAGCAGCACUAUACAACGAGAGAGCUAUUUCUGCCCCUUGUCAGUGAAGUGUUACCGAUAUCUGAGAGUGAUCCAGCCGGAAGUCAGAGUUGUGAGUCCCAACUCAUGCAUGGAGUUUGUGGUAAGAGCUGUGAUGAGUGGACGAGCACAUACCCUGGUUAUAGUGGGCAGCUCCUGCCUAUUGUUGCCACACAGGAGUAUUGGAGUAGUUCUGU